UCUGAAAUACACCAACAGAUUCCAAAAUUACGUAUGUCAUCAAAUCUAAGCAGUGUAACUAAAAUAAAAUAUCUAUCUGUAGUGCUUAUGAACAGAUUGUAUUUGUCAUUGUUUUGUCAUACUAAGUAAUCAAGUGGUGGUCAUCAAUUAAAAGGAGCUGCUUUUUAAUUUUAUUUUACUUUUUGGGAGGCUAAUGCUCUCCUUACGUAAGGAGUAAGAACAAGCAGACUGAACUGUCCACAGAAUUCAGUGUUUUAAAAAUGUGAAAUGGUAAUAAGACAUUCCAGCUUAAUCUGUUUCGUUUCUACACUUCCUGGGAAAAAUGAUGGAGAAAUUCUGCAUGCAAGUAAAGGUAACUAACAAUAUCUUAACUGCAUGGUAGAGCAGCUCUUCUUUCAUUGUUUUCUUAGUUCAUUGCGCACAGGAUUUUUUAGCAUUUAUGUAGUAGUUCAAAUCAUUUUAUUCUGACAAGAAACUAUCUUGUAGGUAAUUACUGAUCGUGUGUCAAGUGAUGUUAAAUGUGGAGCACCACUCCACAAAAACUAUUCAAUUUAUAUGAAAUUAAUUACAUAAAUCAUUAGAUAGCACAACAAAAACAAACAAACAAACAAAAAAACUUGGGAAGGGGAUUAUAGUAUUGAAUAAUGUAAAAUAUAGAAUAUGUAUAAGAUAAAACGAAGGAAAAUGGAUAAGUAUUUUUGAAAACACACUAUAUUAGGAGUUAUGUAUCUUUAGAAAGGACAGAUAAUGAAUUAUUAUUUCAUCCAUUAAGCUGGAUUAGUGAAUCAAAAGAUCCUCCAAAAGUGUGAAUUCCUAAUUUGAGAACAAUGGAGAAAUACUGAAAACCUACCUUCCAUAACAGAAGUGAAAGAAGCAAAAACAAGGAUUACAGAAUACUUUGCUUCUUGGAACCCAGUGAGUAAGUGGUGCCUAUUUGUGAUGACUGCCCCAAGGCUAUACAUACUGCGGUCCAGGAGAAAGUAAGAGACUUAUGUCUGUCUCCUGAUUUUUAAUCCACUGGAGACAAAUCUUGAUACCUACAGAUUCUCUUGUGUAUAGCAUUCUGGAGCCAAAUGACCGAAGUCAAGGACACCAAGAAGAACAUCAUGAGUUUGCAAAUAUUCUAGGGCAAAACUUGAAACUUCUGUGUAAGUUUGUGAAGAUGACGCAAAACAGAAGAACUGGAAUCUAGCAAGAGUUAUAGGAACAUUAGCUAAAGGAGGAAAAGGACUGCUUUAGGGAAAAGGAGGCCAGCUUUCAGAGAAAAUGGAAAAAAUCAUCUUGGAUCAAAUAAGAAUGGACUUUAAAUCUUUCAUCUGUAAAGACAGCUGUUUGGAAUUCAUGUUCUUAAUGCCAGCAUUUCUUUUCAUAUUUUAAGGUUUGUUCACCUAAAAGCCACAGAAGAGAAAAGCAUGACUUUCCCCAGGCUCCUGGCAGUCUGUGAAGAUGACAGAGGGGGAUGUCUGAAGGCACUACACUGUUGGUCUACACAGAGGGGCCAGACUGUGAGCUCUUCCUCACACUGGCAAGGGACGGGGUCAUGGACUGCACUCCUGGAUGGAAAGGAAGGCUGGUUUUAGGUCUCAUUUCUUAUUCUGUCCCUGCAGUCCUCCAAUGAAGGACUGCUCAACAUCUUGAGCAGUGGCCUUAGCAGGAGGCAGCUUACGAACAGGGAUGCACAGCAGCUGGACUUGUGACCAUGCUGGGAAACCAGAGGCUAAAGAGAGGAUGACAACAUCAAUCAGGUACUACUGAUGAUUCCCUGCAAGGUACUGCUGAGCAGAGCAAACAAAUGACAGGGCAAUUGAACUGAAGAGGUCCUCCACUGGCCUAUUUUUGGGAUGCAGCUAUCCAGCCCAACCAGCAAGUAUUUGUUUUGCCCACUGAAUGCAAAGUUACAUCAUUCAUGAGAUCAGCACUCUGCCUUCAAGCUUUUGGCUGCAUAAAUCCUGCCCAGAGCAGCACAGGAUUUUCACAGCUUUGCACCACUGAAUUUUGCAUCUCAUCCUUCCCUAGAAAGGACCCAAGCAUAUGCUUACCUUUAUAACAUGGGCAUAUUCUUCUGCUCAGCUCAGUUCGAAAAUCAGAAGAGACAGCAAAACAAAUACCAUGGGGGAGUUUGUGAUCAUUUUUUAUGUAAAAGAUAUUUUUCCACCUAUGUCCACAAGCCUAUGGAUAAAAAACAUGUGAUGUUUGACACAGAAGACUUACGAAGACACUCUGACAAGCAGACUUGCAGCUGCAGCAGUGAAUACAUACGACAAAAGAUCCGUUUUCUCUGGGCUGCCUUGAUAAACUGACUCCCAGCCACUGAUAAUCUCGUUCUUCCAUACAAGUCUUCCCACAGUACUCCCCGCUCGGAUGGCCUAGGACACAAAAACCAAUGCUGAGCAUGAGGACAAGCUGACAGGCCACAUGGUAUCCAACAGAACCUUAUGGGGAAAGUUUGGUAACUGACACCUGUCUCCAUUUUGCAAAGGCCCCAUACACGUUUCACGUUUGUGAACAAAGGCAGGAAUGUAUGCAACCAAGGGGAGCAUGCUGCUUCUGAACAUGAGUGUGGAGGUGACAAAUGACUUCACCGUAACACAGAAACUGUAGCAGAAAGCGAUGUUAUACUCAGUCUGAUGAGGAUCUUAUUUUUUUUUAAAGUAGCAUCUCUGUCAUGGCUUACAUCAUAUCACUAUGAAACAAUCCUUAAGUAAUGGCUCAUUUCCUGAGUUCAAAGAGGUCUCAAGCACCGAGAAGCCUCGUGGUCUACAAUAAGAGAGGAAUAUUGUGGUAGUAACUCCUAUGAAAAUUUUUAUCUGUUACUUCAUUGGAAAACGCUGUUGGAAGAACUUAUGAAUGUCUGUUAUUAGCUUUCUUUUGUGUAACCUGUACCACUCCCCCUCCUUUCCCCCCCCCCCCCCCCCUAAUUUGGGAGGCAUUUGGCUUAAAUUAAGUUCCCUGUAUGGGCUGAACUUGAGUAACUGAUCACAUGAGCAUUUUCACUGUGUUGCAAAUAGGGGUUAAAGCACACAUUCCUAGAAGUCUUCAUGAAUAUGCCUGCUUCCAGCUGUGUCUGUCCUUGUUCUCCUUUGUUUUGCAUACUCUGUCUCUGCUUUUGGAGGAGUGUCACCAGAUCUACUCUCAAUUAGAAAUAAAAAUGUUCAGCUGUUCCAAGUUAGAAAAAUUUGGAAGUGCCAUUUUGAAAUUAUCAAACUACUUACAUACUGUUAUUUCAAACUGUAUAUUUCUAAGCCUGUAACAAGGACAAUUUAGAGUUUUGGUCAAUAUUUUCUGUUUUUCCAUAAUUUGUUUUUCUACAAUGGCAGUGGACAAAAAAAAUCUAAUGUUCAUUUGCAGCCACUUGAGAAGUUAUAGAAGGCAAAUAUACUGUUACACUUUUCCAUAAGAUUCUCUUCAAGAAACUUCAUCUUUCUUCUGCAGUAAAAUAUGCGUGCUUGAAUGAAAAGGAUAUAUUGUCCACUGACAAGUAUAAUUAAGCACAGAUGUUUGAGGCACCAAAUAGCAACUCAUAUUAGCAAAGGUCUUAAUUUUUAUCAUUUUGCUUGUGUUCUCUUUAGAGAGUUUCAUUUAGAAUCAGUUAAAGAGGAAGCAGCUUUUCAUUUAAUUGACAAAUAGCGUUUUCACAAUCAUACAUCUUUUCAGGGAACAUUUUUGAGACCCUUUUUUCUUCCUAUGAGCAGUUGCUUGGUGAAGUAAAAGACAAGUUCUCCAGAAUAACUUUUUAGUAUUUAAUGGUGUGGUACGUGCAGUGGCUAUGGCAUCCUGACUACCAGAAGCAAAUAAUAGAUCAUCCUAAUCAGAAGCAGAUGUGUACGUGUGAUAAAUUCAUUGCAUAUCCUCUUUUUAUUUUUUUCUUUAGAAUUUCUUUCUAACAUUGCUGAGUUCCCAGAUCUGGGCCAACUAUAAAUAGUGAGAAGUCUCUGUGUCAUCCACUGCAAAAGUGUGGAUCAUCACAAUUGUGGCAUUUUUCAUUAUUUUCACCUUUUAAGGAAGUAUUUUAGGUUUGAUGCAGUUAUUUUGUCAUGAGAAGUAAAUAUGUUUGUUCAGAGAUUUUUGACAUAAGGAGUUUUUUUUUUUCAUUCUUAUAUUCAAAAUGAACAUGUUUUUUAUUCAGCCCCUUCCUGUAAUUAAUUCCUAUUACAACCUUAUGAUCUCUCCAAAAAAUGAUUCUCAACCACUUUUUGAAACUGCAAGUUUCCAGUUUUUACAUGUUUCUGUUCUUCUGUAUGUUCCAUGACUUUGCUGGCAAGACUGGGUGCAGUGGGAAAAGGAGAGAAUUCAAAAGAACUUUGAUAGCAGCAAAGCAGCUUUAAGAUAAUGAUCUGUUUCUUCUGCUGAGCAAGAAAAAUACCUAAAUACAUAAUUUUUGGUGAUUUAACCAAAGGACAUAUUAGUUUUGCUGGCAGCAAGCAUCAAUUCUAUAUUAAAGUUACUCAGAAAAGAAUUAAUACAAUAUUUAUCAUCACUUGAUCAAAAUCACUUGGUUAUAUCUUAGGUUCCAUUUGUAUCAGCCUUUGAGUACACACACACGUCAGUAUAGUGAGACUGUCCUGUUACAAGGAUUGCCUUUGUAGUUGUAACUUCCUAAAGAUGUCCAUUCAAGAAUAUUCAAAUGGCUGAAUAUUUUGAAGAGAAUGGAAGUGACCUAUGGUGUUUUUUUCUCCCCUCUUUCUCUCACUUGUAUUUGUGACAGAAAUAGGCAUGAUAAAUGAUUAGCAACAGCUGGACAGUUAGUACUAGAGUCUGUGGGUCUGCUGAGCCUGAAAGCCUUCGGCUCCACAGGAAAUAUGAGCACUAUGGAAACAGCUCCCAAAUUAUGGAGGUUUUGGUUGCAUGUCUUUCACCAACUGGAGGGUAUUCUUUCAAACAGUGACAACGGCUGUGUUUCAAAUAAGAGACAAACUCAGGACCACCUUCUUUCUAAAACAAAAUAAAUCAGCUGUUGGAAGAGGACUGUUGAAGAGAAACAUCUGGAGGAAAUGCCACUCUGGUUUCAGACUUGCUUUUGGAAUACCCUAACAUACAUCUUCCAGGAUAUGAUACUGUGUUUCAUCAGACAACAUCACAAUGAGAUCAUACAUCUGAAUAUGGACUGCAGGCUAGCUUUAUGAAGCAUGGUGAUUGCUAUGUCCGAUUCUGUUUCCUGAGUGAGUAAAUUAGGAAUAUUUCUCAUCCAAUCAUGAGAAAUUGGAUCAUUACUUUGAUGUUAGAAUGGAAUCCUAGAUUAGUACAAAAAUGAUUAGUUCACAAACUCUGAAUUUAUGUGAGGGUAGAAGACAACAUCUGUAACCAGAAGCAGUUCUGAGAUAUCAACAGAGUUGCAAAGACAAACUACAACUAAAUCCAGUACAGAAUUAAGGUGAGAAAAAUUUAUGGUACAAAACAGUGAAAAUGCCAUGAUUUUGUGGAGCCAUCUGUAAUCUGAGACUGUGGACUGCUACAGAGGAGAGCAAAUAACAAGACUGAUCUGUCUUUACAUGUACCUGUUAAUAUUUUCUAGAGCUCCUUCCACAUAUGCUCUUAGCGUGAAUACAAAAUAUAUCCAUUCCUCAUAAUACAUCUUCAUGAAUUUAUCAGCCUUUUUAAGAAUUCGAGAGAAUAAAUAACUUUCUGGCAAAUUCUCAGAUCUCUCAUUGUUAAAAUGUUGACCUAAAAUGUCAUUGAUACCGACAUAAUCUUCAUAAUUAGUUACUUGGUAGCUGCGUAUCUAUGAUUUCGUAGCAGUCGGGUCUGAUACAAGUUAAGACAUUUGUAUUUUAAAGAAUUUCUUUUGCUUUUGGUAUAUGUAGAGCUUGCAGCAACAUGACCAUCUGAAUGUUAUCAUCGUAUAGUUUGCAAGGAGGUUUUUUUUAAAGUUAUAGCUACAUGAAGAAGGAAUAUUCAGACUAGGCAGAACACAGAGUAUGUAGGGAAUAUAUUACUACGAAUUCCUCCAAUUAAAGGUAAAUGUAUCUGUCCUUGUUCCUGGAUUUUGCUGAAAUAUGUUACAUCUAUUCACCUGCCUUCUUCUGUAUAGUGAUAUGUGUAAUAGGUAUCAUAAGCAAUUAGUUGCAAAUUGUUGCUAUAAAAUCUGCAGUGAAAUGAAACAAUCUGUUGCUGUCCUACUUAGAGAUGUUUCUGUGAGUUAUCUUGGCUCUGUUUUAGAGUAGUGUGUGUAAGAGAUUUAGUAUUUUCUUUUUUAAGGCUUUGAUUUUGACAUUACCUAAUUCUUUCUUUUUCUUUUUUUCUUUCUUUCUUUUUUUUUUUUUUUUUCUGAAAUGUUGUAAUCGUAAAUUGAUGUAUUUGAAAUGUAAUUAAGCUUUUGGCCACUUGGACACUGCAGAAUCAACACCCAAAAUACAUCUAUGAUCUAUGUAUAUACAUAUUUUAAUCUCAUAUUCAUGGAGAUAUGUCUUUUGUUACAAAGUGGACCUGGAUCAUUUGUUCUCUUAUACACUUAAUUUUUCAUUAACUUAUUUCAACUUAUUUUUAAAAAAGUAUGCAGCCUAUAUAGUCAAGGUUGGGGUGUGAAAAUUGUUUUCUUUUUCACUGAGUGCUUAUCAGACAAGAGCAGGAGGUGCCUCACAGUAUAGUCUGUUCUGGCUGCAUUGCUCCUCCUGUUGUCAAAGAAUAUUGGUGUUCAACUCUGAGUUGCUAAGAUACAUAGUUCAUGAAACUAUAGUGUGCUACAACAAUACAAUGAGAGAUUCUUUAAAAAAGGAAAUCUUCUGCAAAAGAGCCUUGUUAUUAAAACAGUGAUAUAUUAAAGUUGUAAAAGAUCAGCGAUUUCCUAAGAAAGGAAUAGUAUCUACCAAGCAUUUUUUUCCUUUUAUUGAGACAGUAGUUCCAAAAGUUAAGGGAAGGCAACGUGCCCAUCUUCCACAUAUUUGUGGUUUGCCUCCAACUAAACAUGAUAAUCUUUUUCUUUGUGGGAGAGGACUAUAAAAGCACAUGUAUCAGUUAUCUUAUGCCAAAUGCAUAAAUGUUUAUAUAAGAACAGUAUGGACAGUAAAAAUUAUUCUUUAAUAGCUCCCAUAUCACAAAGGAUUCAGAAAACCACCCAUGUCCUGGAAGACCAUGGAAGCAUAUAUUUGGCUACAGCAUAGCCUUGAAUUUUAGUGAACAUGAAAGUCAACUCAUACUUGAAUAUUCCUAUUAGAGAUUCACUCUUCAAGUUUAUAUUGGUUAGAGAAUUUCACAAAAAAUACCAAGAGAUUGGCUAAUUUAUGAACUGAAUUUUAUUCCUUCUUAAUUUGUAAACAAUCUUCCAGAGAUUUUUACAAUUUAGAAGUUUGCAAUAAAACAUCUGAGCUAGUUCUUUCAAAUAAGCUUUGCAUGCAUGAAAACUCAAUGUCUGUAAUUAUCCCAUCUUCUGCUAAACAACAACAACAAAAAAUCUGUGAGAACACUAAAAUGUGACCUGGUGAUCUGGGUUGUGCAGAUUUUGGGAGAAUACUAGCUCCACUGACUUUUGGUACACCUGGGAGCAUUGCUAUGUUUAAUAGGCAGUGUUAUCUGUUAGUGAUUUAAAUGCUUGAGAAUGGUGGUUUGGUUCAGGUCAGCAGUGUGCCUAGGCCAGCUCUCCUGUCACAGGGGCUGCUGAGCAGGUUGUUUGCUGUGGCACAAGCAGAAAAAGUCAUGAUAUUUCCUCUGAUCGUACUUUCCUGAUCUCAACACUCAAAAAUGCUCUCCAUUCCAGCUUUACCUGUUACUGUAUGAAGAACCAGCUCCUAAUACUUGUUUUGAAGCUGGCCUGCCUCAGCAGUAUUUUCUCUCCCUGAGCUCUUGUACCAGAAGGUCUGAGAGAUAAUCAGUUCUCACGUAUGUUCCCCAUGCUUUGCUCUUCAGGCUAUUCUCUGGGCUGGAGAACCAAGGCCUGUUCUAACUCUUUGUGUAGUGGCCACAUACCUGUAAUGACUGCUUGCUGAAUGGUUGUUUGGGGCUCCCCAUGGCUUGAUUUUAGCAGUGGGCAGAGAGUGCUGGACGCACAGUUCCAGAUGGUUCUAGAUGGUUCCAGGUGGUUCUAACGGAUCCCAGCAGGGCGGACCAAUCAGGUAAAAGCACCUGGUGCCUCAGUGAGAACAAAGGGCAGAGUGCUGCACAGGUGGGGAGGGAAAACGAAUUUAAAAAAGUGAGUGAGGGAUGUAAUUCUGAGUUAUGUGCUCAGAGAAGAAGGUUGGGAGAAGGUUCCCUCACAGCUCCUGUAGAGGCUACAGAAGGGGGAAUGUUUUCCUGUAGCUUAUAGAGAGGAAAAUGUUGCAGUGGAUUUCUGCACAGAGAAUUCUAUGCUGGCAUCAGUUCCAGGAGCUGUGGCUUGGGAGAGCCUGCACUGGAGCGGUUUUUCUGACAGAAAGUGCAAUCAUGAAGAGCCUGUGCUGGAGCAGUCUUCCUGACAGGAACUGUGGCUUUGGAGAAUGCACACUGAAGCAGAGUUUUACUGACAGAAAGCAUGGCACUGGAGAGCCAUCUUGGAGUAAAUUCUCCUGACAGGAACUGUGGUGGUAGAGAAGAUCUGCACUGCGGCAUGUUUUCCUGUCACAGACACUGUGGCUUUGGAGAGUCCGUGCUGUACUUUAUUUUUCCUCAUAGAAGUUUUGGCCAUGCUUGAGUAGAUUUUUCCUGACAAAAGCUGUGGCUGUGGAGAGGACUUGUACUAGGAUACGUUCUCCUCUGUCAGGAGCUGCAGUCUGUGGAGAGCUGGUGCUGGAGUAGUUCUCCUGACAGGAACUGCAGCCUAUGGCCAGCUCACAUUGGAGCAGAGUAUUCCAGAAAGACUCGAGUCCAAGGAGAGGACCCACACUGGGGCAGGUGAAAAAUGGUGCAGCUCACUGUGACAGUUGUGUUGAAAUAUGACUCCAGUAUCCAGUACCUGCUGAAAAGUCAAGGAGGUAAGGAAUUACAU